rnacentral:lncRNA from 1 species
GGGGGACACAGCUUUCCUGGUGGCAAAGGAGUGAGAUGUAGAAGUUAACUGUCAACCGAUGACGAAUGGUCCUGACACAUACAAGUCUCACCAUGAAAACGUUUGGAUUUUUA